rnacentral:rRNA from 1 species
UACAGAGGGUGCGAGCGUUGUCCGGAAUCACUGGGCGUAAAGGGCGCGUAGGUGGCGCGACAAGUCCGUGGUGAAAGCUCGAUGCUCAACAUCGAGUCGGCCACGGAAACUGUUGGGCUGGAGCACUGUAGAGGCAGAUGGAAUUCCGGGUGUAGCGGUGGAAUGCGGUAGAGAUCCGGAAGAACACCGGUGGCGAAGGCGGUCUGCUGG